rnacentral:lncRNA from 1 species
UUUUUUUUUUUUUUGAGACAGGAUUUCAUUCCUUUCACUCAGGUGGGAGUGCAAUAGCAUGAUCUUGGCUCACUAUUACCUCUGCCUCCCAGGCUCAAGCAAUUCUCCUGCCUUAGCCGCCUAAGGGGCUGGGACCACAGGUGUAUGCCACAGUGCCGACUGAUUUUUUGUAGAGACAGGGUUUCACCAUGUUGCCCAGGCUGGUCUCAAACUCCCGGGCUCAAGUGAUCCGCCCACCUCUGCCUCCGAAAGUGCUGGGAUUACAGGCGUGAUUACCCUGCCCGGCCCCCUACUAACUUUUAUCAUAAGCUUAAUCUUAGAACAGAGUCCAAAAAUUUUGACAGGAGUGGUGGUGGAAACUAGUAGAAAAAGGAGGAGAAGACCUAAGGCAUGAGAACUGUCAGUAUAUUUUACAAAAUAAAGUUAAAAUAUGAUAUUUGAAAGUUGAAGCCAGGCACG